rnacentral:rRNA from 1 species
UGAUCGUAAGGACAUGUGGAGCGCUUAGAAGUGAGAAUGCCGGUGUGAGUAGCGAAAGACGGGUGAGAAUCCCGUCCACCGAUUGACUAAGGUUUCCAGAGGAAGGCUCGUCCGCUCUGGGUUAGUCGGGUCCUAAGCUGAGGCCGACAGGCGUAGGCGAUGGAUAACAGGUUGAUAUUCCUGUACCACCUAUAAUCGUUUUAAUCGAUGGGGGGACGCAGUAGGAUAGGCGAAGCGUGCGAUUGGAUUGCACGUCUAAGCAGUAAGGCUGAGUAUUAGGCAAAUCCGGUACUCGUUAAGGCUGAGCUGUGAUGGGGAGAAGACAUUGUGUCUUCGAGUCGUUGAUUUCACACUGCCGAGAAAAGCCUCUAGAUAGAAAAUAGGUGCCCGUACCGCAAACCGACAC